UACAGAGGGAGCAAGCGUUGUUCGGAAUUACUGGGCGUAAAGGGCGCGCAGGCGGGCCUGUAAGUCAGACGUGAAAACUAUCGGCUCAACCGAUAGAUUGCGUUUGAGACUGCAGGCCUUGAGUACGGGAGAGGAAGGUGGAACUCUGCGUGUAGCGGUUAAAUGCGUAGAUAUGCAGAGGAACACCAGUGGCGAAGGCGGCCUUCUAGCCCGAUACUGACGCUGAGGCGCGAAAGCGUGGGGAGCAAACAGG
rnacentral:rRNA from 1 species